rnacentral:rRNA from 1 species
AAUCUUGCGCAAUGGGCGAAAGCCUGACGCAGCGACGCCGCGUGAGUGAUGAAGGCCUUCGGGUUGUAAAGCUCUUUUGGCGGGGACGAUGAUGACGGUACCCGCAGAAUAAGCCCCGGCUAACUUCGUGCCAGCAGCCGCGGUAAGACGAAGGGGGCUAGCGUUGUUCGGAAUUACUGGGCGUAAAGCGCGUGUAGGCGGUUGUUCAAGUCAGGUGUGAAAGCCUUGGGCUCAACUCAAGAAAUGCACUUGAUACUGGAUGACUAGAGGACCGGAGAGGAUAGUGGAAUUCCCAGUGUAGUGGUGAAAUACGUAGAGAUUGGGAAGAACACCAGUGGCGAAGGCGGCUAUCUGGACGGUUUCUGACGCUAAGACGCGAAAGCGUGGGGAGCAAAC